rnacentral:rRNA from 1 species
AUCCUGGCUCAAGGACGAACGCUGGCGAGCGUGCUUAACACAUGCAAGUCGAAACGAUGAUGCCCAGCUUGCUGGGCGGAUUAGUGGCGAACGGGUGAGUAAUACGUGAGUAACCUGCCCUUGACUCUGGGAUAAGCCUGGGAAACUGGGUCUAAUACUGGAUACUACCUCUUACCGCAUGGUGGGUGGUGGAAAGGGUUUUACUGGUUUUGGAUGGGCUCACGGCCUAUCAGCUUGUUGGUGGGGUAAUGGCUCACCAAGCCGACGACGGGUAGCCGGCCUGAGAGGGUGACCGGCCACACUGGGACUGAGACACGGCCCAGACUCCUACGGGAGGCAGCAGUGGGGAAUAUUGCACAAUGGGCGGAAGCCUGAUGCAGCGACGCCGCGUGAGGGAUGACGGCCUUCGGGUUGUAAACCUCUUUCAGUAGGGAAGAAGCGAGAGUGACGGUACCUGCAGAAGAAGCGCCGGCUAACUACGUGCCAGCAGCCGCGGUAAUACGUAGGGCGCAAGCGUUGUCCGGAAUUAUUGGGCGUAAAGAGCUCGUAGGCGGUUUGUCGCGUCUGCUGUGAAAGCCCGGGGCUUAACCCCGGGUCUGCAGUGGGUACGGGCAGACUAGAGUGCAGUAGGGGAGACUGGAAUUCCUGGUGUAGCGGUGAAAUGCGCAGAUAUCAGGAGGAACACCGAUGGCGAAGGCAGGUCUCUGGGCUGUUACUGACGCUGAGGAGCGAAAGCAUGGGGAGCGAACAGGAUUAGAUACCCUGGUAGUCCAUGCCGUAAACGUUGGGCACUAGGUGUGGGGGACAUUCCACGUUUUCCGCGCCGUAGCUAACGCAUUAAGUGCCCCGCCUGGGGAGUACGGCCGCAAGGCUAAAACUCAAAGGAAUUGACGGGGGCCCGCACAAGCGGCGGAGCAUGCGGAUUAAUUCGAUGCAACGCGAAGAACCUUACCAAGGCUUGACAUUCACCGGACCGCCCCAGAGAUGGGGUUUCCCUUCGGGGCUGGUGGACAGGUGGUGCAUGGUUGUCGUCAGCUCGUGUCGUGAGAUGUUGGGUUAAGUCCCGCAACGAGCGCAACCCUCGUUCUAUGUUGCCAGCACGUGAUGGUGGGGACUCAUAGGAGACUGCCGGGGUCAACUCGGAGGAAGGUGGGGAUGACGUCAAAUCAUCAUGCCCCUUAUGUCUUGGGCUUCACGCAUGCUACAAUGGCCGGUACAAAGGGUUGCGAUACUGUGAGGUGGAGCUAAUCCCAAAAAGCCGGUCUCAGUUCGGAUUGAGGUCUGCAACUCGACCUCAUGAAGUCGGAGUCGCUAGUAAUCGCAGAUCAGCAACGCUGCGGUGAAUACGUUCCCGGGCCUUGUACACACCGCCCGUCAAGUCACGAAAGUGUGGUAACACCCGAAGCCGGGUGGCCUAACCCCUUGUGGGAGGGAGCCGUCGAAGG